AUACUUCCCUGGCAGGGGAGAUACCGGGGCACGACGGUGGUUUUCCCAGGGCGCACCUUGUCUGUUGCCCUCCCCAUGUUCUGGUUGCCGUGACUUGCCCAAAGGUGGGAAACACGACUGUGUGAUUUGUGACAGUGGGGGUCUGCAUUCACACUCUUCCCAU
ensembl:snRNA U1 U1 spliceosomal RNA